rnacentral:rRNA from 1 species
UACAGAGGUCUCAAGCGUUGUUCGGAUUCAUUGGGCGUAAAGGGUGCGUAGGCGGCGCGGUAAGUCGGGUGUGAAAUCUUGGAGCUUAACUCCGAAACUGCAUUCGAUACUGCCGUGCUUGAGGACUGGAGAGGAGACUGGAAUUUACGGUGUAGCAGUGAAAUGCGUAGAUAUCGUAAGGAGGACCAGUGGCGAAGGCGGGUCUCUGGACAGUUCCUGACGCUGAGACACGAAGGCCAGGGGAGCAAACGGG